rnacentral:rRNA from 1 species
AGAGUUUGAUCCUGGCUCAGGAUGAACGCUAGCUACAGGCUUAACACAUGCAAGUCGAGGGGCAGCAUGGUCUUAGCUUGCUAAGGCCGAUGGCGACCGGCGCACGGGUGAGUAACACGUAUCCAACCUGCCGUCUACUCUUGGACAGCCUUCUGAAAGGAAGAUUAAUACAAGAUGGCAUCAUGAGUCCACAUGUUCACAUGAUUAAAGGUAUUCCGGUAGACGAUGGGGAUGCGUUCCAUUAGAUAGUAGGCGGGGUAACGGCCCACCUAGUCUUCGAUGGAUAGGGGUUCUGAGAGGAAGGUCCCCCACAUUGGAACUGAGACACGGUCCAAACUCCUACGGGAGGCAGCAGUGAGGAAUAUUGGUCAAUGGGCGAGAGCCUGAACCAGCCAAGUAGCGUGAAGGAUGACUGCCCUAUGGGUUGUAAACUUCUUUUAUAAAGGAAUAAAGUCGGGUAUGCAUACCCGUUUGCAUGUACUUUAUGAAUAAGGAUCGGCUAACUCCGUGCCAGCAGCCGCGGUAAUACGGAGGAUCCGAGCGUUAUCCGGAUUUAUUGGGUUUAAAGGGAGCGUAGAUGGAUGUUUAAGUCAGUUGUGAAAGUUUGCGGCUCAACCGUAAAAUUGCAGUUGAUACUGGAUAUCUUGAGUGCAGUUGAGGCAGGCGGAAUUCGUGGUGUAGCGGUGAAAUGCUUAGAUAUCACGAAGAACUCCGAUUGCGAAGGCAGCCUGCUAAGCUGCAACUGACAUUGAGGCUCGAAAGUGUGGGUAUCAAACAGGAUUAGAUACCCUGGUAGUCCACACGGUAAACGAUGAAUACUCGCUGUUUGCGAUAUACGGCAAGCGGCCAAGCGAAAGCGUUAAGUAUUCCACCUGGGGAGUACGCCGGCAACGGUGAAACUCAAAGGAAUUGACGGGGGCCCGCACAAGCGGAGGAACAUGUGGUUUAAUUCGAUGAUACGCGAGGAACCUUACCCGGGCUUAAAUUGCAGAUGAAUUACGGUGAAAGCCGUAAGCCGCAAGGCAUCUGUGAAGGUGCUGCAUGGUUGUCGUCAGCUCGUGCCGUGAGGUGUCGGCUUAAGUGCCAUAACGAGCGCAACCCUUGUUGUCAGUUACUAACAGGUUCUGCUGAGGACUCUGACAAGACUGCCAUCGUAAGAUGUGAGGAAGGUGGGGAUGACGUCAAAUCAGCACGGCCCUUACGUCCGGGGCUACACACGUGUUACAAUGGGGGGUACAGAGGGCCGCUACCACGCGAGUGGACGCCAAUCCCCAAAACCUCUCUCAGUUCGGACUGGAGUCUGCAACCCGACUCCACGAAGCUGGAUUCGCUAGUAAUCGCGCAUCAGCCACGGCGCGGUGAAUACGUUCCCGGGCCUUGUACACACCGCCCGUCAAG